rnacentral:rRNA from 1 species
CCCUUAGACGUUCUGGGCCGCACGCGCGCUACACUGACGAAGGCAACGAGCUACUCUUCACCGAAAGGUGUGGGUAAUCUUUUGAAACUUCGUCGUGCUGGGGAUAGAUCCUUGCAAUUUUUGAUCUUAAACGAGGAAUUCCUAGUAAGCGCAAGUCAUCAACUUGCGUUGAUUACGUCCCUGCCCUUUGUACACACCGCCCGUCGCUACUACCGAUUGAAUGGUUUAGUGAGGCCUUCGGAUCCGCGAUUUUAUUGUGGAGAAGUUGGACAAACUCAGUCAUUUAGAGGAAGUAAAAGUCGUANCA